rnacentral:rRNA from 1 species
UACGUAGGGUGCGAGCGUUAAUCGGAAUACUGGGCGUAAAGCGUGCGCAGGCGGUUUUGUAAGCCAGAUGUGAAAUCCCCGGGCUUAACCUGGGAAUGGCAUUUGGGACUGCAAGGCUUGAGUGCGGCAGAGGAGACUGGAAUUCCUGGUGUAGCAGUGAAAUGCGUAGAUAUCAGGAGGAAUACCGAUGGCGAAGGCAGGUCUCUGGGCUGACACUGACGCUCAUGCACGAAAGCGUGGGGAGCAACAGG